GAAGCACGCCAGGCCGCUGCUGGUGCAAGUGCCGAAAGGCCGCACUGGAGGAACGUCCGGACUGCAUAGGGCAGCGUAGCAGGCAACACCUGUCCACCGCGAGGUGAGGAUCAGAGCAACAGAGACGAGUCCCGUGGUUCGCGCAAGCGGGUCAUGGGGGUGAAACGGGCAAUCUCUACGCGCAGCAAUGCCAAAUAGGCCAGCGUCGACGUGGUCCCGCGGAGCUGGCGGGUAGGCAGCAUCGAGCCGUGGAGGCGACUCCCGGCCCAGAAGAAUGGCGGUCACAUCCGGGCAACCGGAUGCACAGAAUCCGGCGUAACGGCGAGCUUCACAC
rnacentral:RNase_P_RNA from 1 species